AGAGUUUGAUCCUGGGCUCAGGAUGAACGCUGGCGGCGUGCAUAAUACAUGCAAGUCGAGCGAAAUGGAUUAAGAGCUUGCUCUUAUGAAGUUAGCGGCGGACGGGUGAGUAACACGUGGGUAACCUGCCCAUAAGACUGGGAUAACUCCGGGAAACCGGGGCUAAUACCGGAUAACAUUUUGAACCGCAUGGUUCGAAAUUGAAAGGCGGCUUCGGCUGUCACUUAUGGAUGGACCCGCGUCGCAUUAGCUAGUUGGUGAGGUAACGGCUCACCAAGGCAACGAUGCGUAGCCGACCUGAGAGGGUGAUCGGCCACACUGGGACUGAGACACGGCCCAGACUCCUACGGGAGGCAGCAGUAGGGAAUCUUCCGCAAUGGACGAAAGUCUGACGGAGCAACGCCGCGUGAGUGAUGAAGGCUUUCGGGUCGUAAAACUCUGUUGUUAGGGAAGAACAAGUGCUAGUUGAAUAAGCUGGCACCUUGACGGUACCUAACCAGAAAGCCACGGCUAACUACGUGCCAGCAGCCGCGGUAAUACGUAGGUGGCAAGCGUUAUCCGGAAUUAUUGGGCGUAAAGCGCGCGCAGGUGGUUUCUUAAGUCUGAUGUGAAAGCCCACGGCUCAACCGUGGAGGGUCAUUGGAAACUGGGAGACUUGAGUGCAGAAGAGGAAAGUGGAAUUCCAUGUGUAGCGGUGAAAUGCGUAGAGAUAUGGAGGAACACCAGUGGCGAAGGCGACUUUCUGGUC
rnacentral:rRNA from 1 species